AGCCAUUUUAUUUUUUUUCUGUGUUGGUGUUGUGUAUUCAUAUUCACCUGAGCACACAACACCAACACAGAAAAAUAAUCAUAUUACU